GUCGCUACUACCGAUUGAAUGGCUUAGUGAGAUCUUCAGACUGUUUGUAUUUUAGCUGCAAAGCUGAAGUACUGUGGAAAGUUGUUCAAACUUGGUCAUUUAGAGGAAGUAA
rnacentral:rRNA from 1 species